GACGAACUUUGGCGGCGUGCUUAACACAUGCAAGUCGAACGGAAAGGCCCUGCUUUUGUGGGGUGCUCGAGUGGCGAACGGGUGAGUAACACGUGAGUAACCUGCCCUUGACUUUGGGAUAACUUCAGGAAACUGGGGCUAAUACCGGAUAGGAGCUCCUGCUGCAUGGUGGGGGUUGGAAAGUUUCGGCGGUUGGGGAUGGACUCGCGGCUUAUCAGCUUGUUGGUGGGGUAGUGGCUUACCAAGGCUUUGACGGGUAGCCGGCCUGAGAGGGUGACCGGCCACAUUGGGACUGAGAUACGGCCCAGACUCCUACGGGAGGCAGCAGUGGGGAAUAUUGCACAAUGGGCGGAAGCCUGAUGCAGCAACGCCGCGUGCGGGAUGACGGCCUUCGGGUUGUAAACCGCUUUCGCCUGUGACGAAGCGUGAGUGACGGUAAUGGGUAAAGAAGCACCGGCUAACUACGUGCCAGCAGCCGCGGUGAUACGUAGGGUGCGAGCGUUGUCCGGAUUUAUUGGGCGUAAAGGGCUCGUAGGUGGUUGAUCGCGUCGGAAGUGUAAUCUUGGGGCUUAACCCUGAGCGUGCUUUCGAUACGGGUUGACUUGAGGAAGGUAGGGGAGAAUGGAAUUCCUGGUGGAGCGGUGGAAUGCGCAGAUAUCAGGAGGAACACCAGUGGCGAAGGCGGUUCUCUGGGCCUUUCCUGACGCUGAGGAGCGAAAGCGUGGGGAGCGAACAGGCUUAGAUACCCUGGUAGUCCACGCUGUAAACGGUGGGUACUAGGUGUGGGGUCCAUUCCACGGGUUCCGUGCCGUAGCUAACGCUUUAAGUACCCCGCCUGGGGAGUACGGCCGCAAGGCUAAAACUCAAAGGAAUUGACGGGGCCCCGCACAAGCGGCGGAGCAUGCGGAUUAAUUCGAUGCAACGCGUAGAACCUUACCUGGGUUUGACAUGGAUCGGGAGUGCUCAGAGAUGGGUGUGCCUCUUUUGGGGUCGGUUCACAGGUGGUGCAUGGCUGUCGUCGGCUCGUGUCGUGAGAUGUUGGGUUAAGUCCCGCAACGAGCGCAACCCUUGUUCACUGUUGCCAGCACGUUAUGGUGGGGACUCAGUGGAGACCGCCGGGGUCAACUCGGAGGAAGGUGGGGAUGACGUCAAGUCAUCAUGCCCCUUAUGUCCAGGGCUUCACGCAUGCUACAAUGGCUGGUACAGAGAGUGGCGAGCCUGUGAGGGUGAGCGAAUCUCGGAAAGCCGGUCUCAGUUCGGAUUGGGGUCUGCAACUCGACCUCAUGAAGUCGGAGUCGCUAGUAAUCGCAGAUCAGCAACGCUGCGGUGAAUACGUUCCCGGGGCU
rnacentral:rRNA from 1 species